rnacentral:rRNA from 1 species
UAACACAUGCAAGUCAACUUGACUGAAGGAGCAAUCUGACAGUAGAGUGGCGCAAGGGUGCGUAACGCGUAAGUAACUUGCCCAAGGUAAGGAAUAACGUCGAGAAAUCGGCGCUAAUACCUCAUAAUGCAGCGGAUCCGCAUGGAUAUGUUGUUAAAGGUUUACCGCCUUGGGAUAGGCUUGCGUCUGAUUAGUUAGUUGGUGUGGUAACGGCACACCAAGGCUACGAUCAGUAACUGGUCUGAGAGGAUGAUCAGUCACACUGGAACUGAGACACGGUCCAGACUCCUACGGGAGGCAGCAGUGAGGAAUAUUGGGCAAUGCUCGAAAGAGUGACCCAGCAACGCCGCGUGGAGGAUGAAGGUAUUCUAUAUCGUAAACUCCUGUGAGAGCAGACGAAAGACAGAUUAUUAAUCUGGAUGACUGUAUGCUCAGAGGAAGCCCCGGCUAACUACGUG